GGCGGUUUUCCGAGCAACCCUGGGCAGCCUGGGCCUCCGCUGGGAGCGGGGAGGCCUGGGCGGUCUUCACCGCCUUCGGGGCCGGGUUCUGUCUCCCCUCCCAAGAGAGGCCCGGUGUUUAGGGUCUGGACUGGCUCCGGGGACUUCCAGGGCUCCCAAAACCCCGAGGCGUUGCCACCACUCAAGCCCCGCCCGGAAAUUGCCUCGACCUUAACCGAAGGCUCCUGGCGCCUGGGGCGGAAACGGCCUUCAGAGCCUCGGAAAGAUGCUGGGACCCUCAGCUCCAUGGACACCUCGGAUGACAAAUCUGGAGAAGCAGCUUGAGGUCGGGCCGCAGAAGUUGACCCAGCCCCGAGCAGCUGCACCAGAGGCAACCGUGGGGCGCAGAGAGCCCCUAGUUGGGGAGCAGCAGGCGGCAGCAGUGCAAGGCACAUUACCACGGGUCUCCGGCAGAAUCCCCCUCGCUUCAGGCCCACAUCCCACGGCCCUCGCCGCUUUCACAGCAGCUCUGGAGUCCUCUUUCCUGAGGGUCUUUCUACUGAGAAAUCCAGAGGAUGCUGUGCCGAUGCCGUCCAAUGGAAAGGCAGCUCCUGAAAGCACGACGCUGUGCCCUCCUCCACCUUAGUCACCGGAUCUGGCUCUCUCUCUGUGACCUUGGCUCUUCCCCAAAGUCACAAUGGCCAAGAAAGCUUGAGAUUUUGAGUCAGUUUGGGGCAUUGAAGCAGCCAGAACAGUGGAGCUAAAGACCCACAGGAAAGAGGGGUCCAGAGCUGCUGCAGAAAUCGGCAAGGACGGUGGGAUGAGUGUGCUCACAGCGGGGGGGAUUCCUGGAGUGGACCCACGGCAGUGUCUUUCACUGCUAGAAAUGGGAGCUCUGUAUUUUUCCAUCAGUGUUGCCGCCUUGGCAAGAGUUGCCGGCAACUUUUUUUCCCAGGGAAGCUGGCCGGAACCGCCCCUUUCAGACUCAGCAGGACUCGACACAUCUUGGAGCUUCCUGGUACCAUUUUAAGGAAUUUCCCAACAGUGGUCCUCUUUGUGUGUGUUGCAUUGUAAGACUUAAGUCUCACUUUCACUCCUGGAGCGUGAACAGCCAAGAGGCUUCCACGAUGCU